rnacentral:rRNA from 9 species
UCCGUAGGUGAACCUGCGGAGGGAU